rnacentral:rRNA from 1 species
AUUGAACGCUGGCGGCAGGCCUAACACAUGCAAGUCGAGCGGAUGAGAGGAGCUUGCUUCUCGAUUCAGCGGCGGACGGGUGAGUAAUGCCUAGGAAUCUGCCUGGUAGUGGGGGACAACGCUUCGAAAGGAACGCUAAUACCGCAUACGUCCUACGGGAGAAAGCAGGGGACCUUCGGGCCUUGCGCUAUCAGAUGAGCCUAGGUCGGAUUAGCUAGUUGGUGAGGUAAUGGCUCACCAAGGCGACGAUCCGUAACUGGCCUGAGAGGAUGAUCAGUCACACUGGAGCUGAGACACGGUCCAGACUCCUACGGGAGGCAGCAGUGGGGAAUAUUGGACAAUGGGCGAAAGCCUGAUCCAGCCAUGCCGCGUGUGUGAAGAAGGUCUUCGGAUUGUAAAGCACUUUAAGUUGGGAGGAAGGGUUGUAGAUUAAUACUCUGCAAUUUUGACGUUACCGACAGAAUAAGCACCGGCUAACUCUGUGCCAGCCGCCGCCGUAACAC